rnacentral:rRNA from 1 species
CUUCCGUAGGGUGAACCUGCGGAGGGAUCAUUACCGAGUUUACAACUCCCAAACCCAAUGUGAACGUUACCAAACUGUUGCCUCGGCGGGAUCUCUGCCCCGGGUGCGUCGCAGCCCCGGACCAAGGCGCCCGCCGGAGGACCAACCAAAACUCUUAUUGUAUACCCCCUCGCGGGUUUUUUACUAUCUGAGCCAUCUCGGCGCCCCUCGUGGGCGUUUCGAAAAUGAAUCAAAACUUUCAACAACGGAUCUCUUGGUUCUGGCAUCGAUGAAGAACGCAGCGAAAUGCGAUAAGUAAUGUGAAUUGCAGAAUUCAGUGAAUCAUCGAAUCUUUGAACGCACAUUGCGCCCGCCAGUAUUCUGGCGGGCAUGCCUGUCCGAGCGUCAUUUCAACCCUCGAACCCCUCCGGGGGGUCGGCGUUGGGGAUCGGCCCUUUACGGGGCCGGCCCCGAAAUACAGUGGCGGUCUCGCCGCAGCCUCUCCUGCGCAGUAGUUUGCACACUCGCAUCGGGAGCGCGGCGCGUCCACAGCCGUUAAACACCCCAAACUUCUGAAAUGUGACCUCGGAUCAUGUAGAUGCUAAAAGGAUAAAAAG